ensembl:lncRNA maestro heat-like repeat-containing protein family member 2B
AGCUGUGCAUGCAGUGUUGGCUGCCCUGUCACGGCGUGGGGAAGGCACAGGCGCGAGAAGCUAGGGAGAGCUGGGGCCGCCUACAGCCUUUUUGCUGCCUCUCGCCCCUGCAGAGAGGAGAUGCCUGCAAGCACUUUGGCUCCUUGGUGGGAUUGCUGGCUCCGCUGACGUGUGACCCCAUGCCCACGUCCCGCCAGUUGGCCGUCACCUGCCUGAGCUCCCUUCUGAGAAUCCAAGCCAAGGAGACCAACGGAGUCAUCGAGACGGGAGACAUCGGGAGUCUGCGUGAGGGGCUGAAUGCCUGCAGCACCGUCUCUCAGCUCCAGUCCUCAUCCAAAAUCGCGAGGGUCUUUUGCAGCAGCUUCCCCCUGGAACACGCCGUGGACUUCAUGACGGCCAUCAAGGAGACCUUCCGGGAAGCCAAAGGAAUGCGUGCGCGUGCUGCUGGGAAGUGGAUGAUCACCUUCCUGCAGAUGUACAGAAAGGACAUCCACUGGGACGUGCCACUGAUCCUCUACAUCCUGCGCAGCUGCGUGCGCUCCAUGCAGCAGAGCAUGUUCCUGCCCAUCCUGUGCCAGGCGGUGGUCAUCCUCACACGCUGUCACGCAGAGCUCGCCAUUGACAACUUCUUCCGGCUGCUUGAGCCCACAGACAGGUAUGGGCACUACUGCCUCUGCUGUUGCUGCGGUCACACUUGUAGCCUGCCUCCGUCAGAGGGAUGCCGGGAGGAAGCAGCUGUUCUUUCUUCCUCUCAAAGUCUGUCUGGGGCAAAAAUUACUCAGCCACAACUUGAGACUCUCCUUUUUCCAGUGACACGUGGAGGAAAAGAAUAAGAGCAUUUUCUCUUCGAGAGGGGAGCCGGUAGAGGAAUGCAAAGAACAGGAAAGCCGAGCUAAAAA